rfam:Astyanax mexicanus chromosome 22, whole genome shotgun sequence.
UCUAUGGUUCUUCUAAGAACCAUUCCUUGGCACUGUUAAAUUUAAG